CCUGCAGCAAUAGCCCUUUGCAUUUUGAAGCGAGGGUGUUGGUGUAACUUGGUUCUGCAUUGAGAAGUGCGAGGGUUUGUGAUGACUCCUCAGAGGGAAGCUCUGCAAAGGUUGUGGCAGUGACUCCCCACCCUCAGGAAGGUUACAGCGGAUAAUGCCACAAGUUUUGCAAGAAUAAAGAGCUUUUUCUUACUGUUCUAAGAAGGUUUUUUGCUAGAAUAAGCAAACAAGAAUUGGACCUGACUUCAGGUCCCUCUGCUCCCACAGCUAUCCUCACUGGGGCUGCAACUGCCCCUGGGGAGAUAUGGCUCUCAGCCAGUCGUCCUUAAAGGAGAAGUGUUAGUUUUGCAUGUAACUGUGACCUAUUUUAAAAUUUUUGCUAUAUAUACGAAUUUACUCUUUAUAACAGAUCCAUGGACCCUUUGGAGUGCAUAUGAUGGAGAGCCAGUGGUCAGCCCUUAGAGUCAUGUUUAGAAAACACCAUCUUUGUUUGUUUUACAUGUUUAUAAUUGUCUCUGACUAUAUUAUCAUUUGUGAAUUUCCCCAGUAGCUUUCAAAGUAAUGUUGGUUUGUCUUGAUAGUAACACUGCUAAAAAGCGCUUAAGAUGUCAAAUACAAGAGCAGUUGUUUGCUUCUUCUGGCUACUACAACCUACCAGAUAUGUAAAUCAUGACCCAUAUUGCUACAGCUUCUGAAAUCAAAGUAAAGCCAAAUAAUGCAUAGCCCAGCAUAGACAUAUUCCCUAAUGACACAGAAGUGUGGUGCUCCAGCCCCCCAUUUUAUGGGAGAAAAGGAGCAUGUAUGAUGAGAGGUCAGUGCCAACUUCUCACUUCCUCAGCAGUGACUGCAGUUGGUGUGGGACAGUCUGCUCCUUCCAGGCGUUGCUCAGAGGUGGAUCCUGUUCAGAAACCCCUUCUCUGCCCCCAUGGAACAGAGCGCUAUGGCACCUUCACAUGGAACCAUGCUCAACUGGAUUGUCACAGAUUUGCCUCUGGGGCCAACCUGAGCUGCAGCAGAGCAUGGAGAAGACAGUUUCAGAAGCUGAGAUGUGUCUGUGUACCCUUCACAGAAGCAGCACUUCAGAAACAGUUCAUGGUACAGAAGAGAUGGCAUAUUUCUUUUAACAAUGGGGUGUUUAAGGCCUGGUUCUGCGAAGUACACUGGAAGAAAACAGUGAGAACAGGAGAACCACAAGGAAAGCCACUAAGUGUCUCACUGACACCUGUAUGGGGAUCCUCCUAGUGAAGAGUGUAAUGGUGAAGGUGACGGAGAGAGCAGAGGAGAAUUACCCAAACCCCUGUCGGGUGACACGGCAGCGGUGAGAAGGAGCCUGCGGCCCUUCCCUGCCUGCUCCAUCUGGCCUGUCCAGGUCUGAACAGCCAGCACACGGACACCGGGAGGGUGCCGCUGAGCGGUGCUCGCACACGCAAACAAAAGGCACCUGGGAAUUCCUUUUAGCUAACUGUGGCCAAUGUUGUUCUUGAAGGAAAAAAGGAAUAAGUACAUGCUUGACACUUAAUGAAAAUAUCAGUGUAUUUGUGCCCAACAUACUGGAAUAUUGUUCAGCACUAAUUCAACAUCGCAAAAAUAUUAUCAGUGUAACGCUGGCAAGGCCAUUGUGUGAU